CGGAGUGAAAGAGAACCUGAAACCGUAUGCCUACAAGAAGUCAGAGCCCGUUAAGGGGUGAUGGCGUGCCUUUUGUAGAAUGAACCGGCGAGUUGCGACAGACUGCGAGGUUAAGGAGGAAAGACCGGAGCCGAAGCGAAAGCGAGUCUUAAGAGGGCGAAAGUAGGAUGUUGCAGACCCGAAACCGGGUGAUCUAGCCAUGAGCAGGUUGAAGUUGAGGUGAAACUCAAUGGAGGACCGAACCGACUACCGUUGAAAAGUUAGCGGAUGACUUGUGGCUAGGGGAGAAAUUCCAAUCGAACCCGGAGAUAGCUGGUUCUCCCCGAAAUAGCUUUAGGGCUAGCGUCGGAAAGAACCUUAGUGAAGGUAGAGCACUGAAUGUGUGAUGGCCCCAUCCCGGGGUACUGAAUACAAUCAAACUGCGAAUGUCAUUAAGGAUGUCCGGCAGUCAGACUGUGAGUGAUAAGGUCCAUGGUCAAGAGGGAAACAGCCCAGACCGCCAGUUAAGGUCCCAAAAUACAGGCUAAGUGGAAAAGGAUGUGGGGAUGCCCAGACAACUAGGAGGUUGGCUCAGAAGCAGCCAUCCUUUAAAGAGUGCGUAACAGCUCACUAGUCGAGUGACCCUGCGCCGAAAAUGUACCGGGGCUAAGCCUGAUACCGAAACUGCGGAUUGUAGGAAACUAUAGUGGUAGGGGAGCGUUGUAUACGAGCAGAAGCCGUACCGUGAGGAGCGGUGGAUUGUAUAGAAGUGAGAAUGCCGGUGUGAGUAGCGAGAUGUAGGUGAGAAUCCUACACACCGAAAGCCCAAGGAUUCCAGGGGAAGGUUCGUCCGCCCUGGGUAAGUCGGGACCUAACGCGAGGCCGAAAGGCGUAGUGGAUGGAAAGCAGGCGAAAGAUUCCUGCACCCGUAUAUGGAGCGAAGGAGUGACGGAGACGGAUAGUGUGACCCUCUUAAUGGAUUGAGGGCGAAGCGAAGCGGCUGGUUACCAGGCAAAUCCGGUAACCAUAAGGCUAGAGCGUGACAGGUAAGCGAAAUCUUAGGAAAGUAGCGAAGCACAUGAUGACGGCUUCCAGGAAAAGCUUCUGGCAAUGCAUAUGCGGCCCGUACCAAAACCGACACAGGUGGGCAGGGAGAGAAUCCCGAGGUGAGCGAGAGAACUGUUGCCAAGGAACUCGGCAAAAUGACUCCGUAAGUUAGCGAGAAGGAGUGCUUAAGCAAUUAAGCCGCAGUGAAGAGGCCCAAGCGACUGUUUAACUAAAACACAGCUCUCUGCGAAGUCGCAAGACGAAGUAUAGGGGGUGACACCUGCCCGGUGCUGGAAGGUUAAGAGGAUCUGUUAAGAGCGAUCUGAAGCAGUGAUCCGAAGCCCCAGUGAACGGCGGCCGUAACUAUAACGGUCCUAAGGUAGCGAAAUUCCUUGUCAGGUAAGUUCUGACCCGCACGAAAGGUGUAACGAUUUGGGCGCUGUCUCGGCAGCAGACUCGGUGAAAUCUUAGUACCUGUGAAAAUGCAGGUUACCCGCAACUAGACGGAAAGACCCCAUGGAGCUUUACUGCAGCCUGAUAUUGAAUUCUGGUCAUACAUGUACAGGAUAGGUGGGAGACAAAGAGACGUGCACGCCAGUGUACGAGGAGUCGACGUUGGGAUACCACUCUUGUGUGACCGGGGUUCUAACCUGGUAUCGAGAACAGGUACGGGGAGAGUGUCAGGUGGGCAGUUUGACUGGGGCGGUCGCCUCCCAAAGAGUAACGGAGGCGCCCAAAGGUACGCUCAGAUUGGAUGGAAACCAAUCGUCGAGUGCAAUUGCAGAAGCGUGCUUGACUGUGAGACAGACAAGUCGAACAGGGACGAAAGUCGGGAAUAGUGAUCCGGCGGUGCCGAAUGGAAGGGCCGUCGCUCAACGGAUAAAAGCUACCCUGGGGAUAACAGGCUGAUCUCGCCCAAGAGUUCACAUCGACGGCGAGGUUUGGCACCUCGAUGUCGGCUCAUCGCAUCCUGGAGCUGGAUUCGGUUCCAAGGGUUGGGCUGUCCGCCCAUUAAAGCGGUACGCGAGCUGGGUUCAGAACGUCGUGAGACAGUUCGGUCCCUAUCUGUUGUGGGCGAAGGAGAUCUGCGGAGAGCUGUCCUCAGUACGAGAGGACCGGGAUGGACCUACCGCUGGUGCACCGGUUGUUCCGCCAGGGGCAUAGCCGGGUAGCUAAGUAGGGAAAGGAUAAGCGCUGAAAGCAUCUAAGCACGAAGCCUACUCCAAGAUGAGAUCUCCCAUUCG
rnacentral:rRNA from 1 species